UAUCACCUUCACAAUCUGACAAUAGUAAUCGAUCCAUCGAUGAGGAAUUAUUGGAAUGUUCACCAAGGUAUGUAGCAUUGAAGGAUCUCUUUCUACCACGAGAAGAAAUCAAACUCACUAUAACGAAUCAUCGACACGCAUCUAUAUACGAAUUUUCUCUGGCACCUAAUUACAGCUGCGAGGACGGGAGUUAUCUUGAAAAUCGUGACGAUGAAUACGAAUACUCAGAGAGAACGGGAGAAGAAUCUUACAUUAAACCAAAACGUUUCGAUUUUUACAAUAUCGACAGAAACGGGACAUAUUGUGACCUCGAUCAGGAUGAUUACGAGAGGAACGAGACUGAUUUACAUUCGCAAUCAAUUCGCAGGAUCAAUUCGAACGGUAAGAUAGAUCACGAUUGUGGGACAGGUGAGGAGAUACAGUGAGUUCUCGUUUCGAUGAUUAUGAUCGUUCUAACAUCGUAAAAUGCAUCUCGAAUGAUAAGAGAGAAAUCGAAUAAGAAGAAAAUAAUGAAGAUGGGAUUCAAGAAGUGGAGAUCAAGGAGGGAUGAAGAUAUGAAUACAGUCUAUAAAUGGUUGUACUAGUCAACUUGUAUAAAGAUAGAAGGAAAACACGUGGGGGACUUUUAGAAAGAAUAAAAAUAAUAAAACAAUAAGUAUAAAAGAGAAACGAAGAUUGUGGUAUUUUAAUUGACAGGUAAAAUUAAAUAAAGUUUCACCGUUGCAUAAAAAUAUCUUUGAGAGAGA